rnacentral:rRNA from 1 species
AGAGUUUGAUCCUGGCUCAGGAUGAACGCUGGCGGCGUGCCUAAUACAUGCAAGUCGAGCGGUAAGGCUCUGCACUUAUUAUUUGAUCGUUAUUAAGUUAUCUCUAGGCUAGAGCUAACAAGAUCGAAUACUGAGUGUAGAGUACACGAGCGGCGGACGGGUGAGUAACGCGUAAGAAUGUACCCCAAACUGAGGGAUAAGCACCAGAAAUGGUGUCUAAUACCGCAUGUGCUCUUCGGAGUAAAGCUUCGGCGGUUUGGGAACAGCUUGCGUAUGAUUAGCUAGUUGGUAAGGUAAUGGCUUACCAAGGCGACGAUCAUUAGCUGGUCUGAGAGGAUGAUCAGCCACACUGGGACUGAGACACGGCCCAGACUCCUACGGGAGGCAGCAGUAGGGAAUUUUCCACAAUGGGGGCAACCCUGAUGGAGCAACGCCGCGUGCAGGAUGAAGGCCUUAGGGUUGUAAACUGCUUUUGUCUGUGACGAAUAUGACGGUAGCAGACGAAUAAGGGUCGGCUAACUACGUGCCAGCAGCCGCGGUCAUACGUAGGACCCGAGCGUUAUCCGGAUUUACUGGGCGUAAAGAGUUGCGUAGGUGGCAAAGUAAGUUAAUAGUGAAAGCGUGUGGCUCAACCAUACUCACAUUAUUAAAACUGCUUAGCUUGAGAAUGAGAGAGGUUACUAGAAUUCCUAGUGUAGGAGUGAAAUCCGUAGAUAUUAGGAGGAAUACCGAUGGCGUAGGCAGGUAACUGGCUCAUUUCUGACACUAAGGCACGAAAGCGUGGGGAGCAAACGGGAUUAGAUACCCCAGUAGUCC